rnacentral:rRNA from 1 species
UAUCUCUGUAGAGUCUGCAUAUCAAUAAGCGGAGGAAAAGAAACUAACAAGGAUUCCCUUAGUAACGGCGAGUGAAGCGGGAAGAGCUCAAAUUUGAAAUCUUCAAGGUUUUACCUCGACGAAUUGUAGUUUAAAGAAGUGUUUUCUGUUGAAGUUUUGGUAAAAGUUCUUUGGAAUAGGACAUCAUAGAGGGUGAGAAUCCCGUAUUUGACCAUUAUUUUCAGCUGUGUGAUACACUUUCAAAGAGUCGGAUUGUUUGGGAAUGCAGUCCAAAAUGGGUGGUAAAUUUCAUCUAAAGCUAAAUAUUGGCGAGAGACCGAUAGCGAACAAGUACCGUGAGGGAAAGAUGAAAAGAACUUUGAAAAGAGAGUUAAACAGUACGUGAAAUUGUCAAAAGGGAAGCGUUUGACACCAGUGUUGUUUUCUCGAAAAUCAAUUAAAAAAGGCCGGAUUUUGUGUUGUAUUGACCUUAAAAGCUUUCUUCACUCUUUUCUUGUCUUUUUUAAUGCACUUUUCGUUUAACAAGUCAACAUCAGUUUCUUUUGUUGUAAAAGGGUCAUUGGAAGGUGGCUUUCUUUUCGGAGAAAGUGUUUAUAGCCUUUGCUCUCUGCAAGUCGGAGAGGAUUGAGGUCUGCAGCGUAGACUCUUCGGGGUUAGAUACAUUUGUGCUAAGUUAUAGCCUUUUCAUAGACAACUUGUUGACUAUAUUCAGUCAUGUAGCUUACUCGCUUAUGCUAUUUUACCUACGCUUAGGAUGUUGAUGUGAUACUGCGAGCA